CCGCCCAGCCCGAGUUCGUAUUUAAUUCUCGCUUUGUGCUCCGGUUGUUUCAUUCCUCUCCUCACAGUCCUGUGGACUCUUCGUCUUCCAUCUUCUGCUUUCUCCGGCUUUGUGGUUUAUAUUUUUCUUCCUCUCAUUUUCCUUGUAACUCCGCUCUUCCAAGAAACAUGGCAGAUACCAAAGUUGAUACUACCACCGCCACCAGCGAGGUCCCCGCCGCCAAGGAUCUGAAAGAGAAGAAAGAAGUUGUUGAGAAAGAGAAGGAGAAGACAGAGAAUGGAAGCGAUGU